UAGGGAAUCUUCCGCAAUGGGCGAAAGCCUGACGGAGCAACGCCGCGUGAGUGAUGAAGGUCUUCGGAUCGUAAAACUCUGUUAUUAGGGAAGAACAAAUGUGUAAGUAACUAUGCACAUCUUGACGGUACCUAAUCAGAAAGCCACGGCUAACUACGUGCCAGCCGCCGCGGUAAUACGUAGGUGGCAAGCGUUAUCCGGAAUUAUUGGGCGUAAAGCGCGCGUAGGCGGUUUUUUAAGUCUGAUGUGAAAGCCCACGGCUCAACCGUGGAGGGUCAUUGGAAACUGGAAAACUUGAGUGCAGAAGAGGAAAGUGGAAUUCCAUGUGUAGCGGUGAAAUGCGCAGAGAUAUGGAGGAACACCAGUGGCGAAGGCGACUUUCUGGUCUGUAACUGACGCUGAUGUGCGAAAGCGUGGGGAUCAAACAGG
rnacentral:rRNA from 1 species